rnacentral:tRNA from 1 species
GGUCCGGUAGCUCAGUCGGUUAGAGCAGGCGACUCAUAAUCGCUCGGUCGUGGGUUCGAGUCCCACCCGGACCA